CAUCCUCUUGGCCUUCCUCCAUCUCCUUUUCCUCUUGCAUUUCCUUUGUGUCUCUAGUUUCCUUUCUUCUCUCCUGCUUUUCCUUGCUCCUUGCUCCUCUACACUUCCUCUCCUUCACUUCUCUUUUCUGUCUCCCUCCUCUUCUUCUUGCUCCUUUGUUGUUGUUGUCUCCUGUUUCCUAUUAGCUUCCUGUUGCACUCUGCUCGGCCCCUUGCUUCUCCUGUUCCUCUGUUUCCUUAGUGACCUUUCUUCUAUCCAUUCAAACACCUGUUUUCCUCCUCUCCUUCUCUUCUGUCCCCUUUCCGCCACACUCCCUCCUUCUCCCUCCUCUUCUCUUUCUCCUCUUCUUCAUCCUGCUCCUCCUUCCCACCUACUCCCGUCUCCUCACCUCUCUGUUUGCACCCCUCCAUCUUGUCCCUCUUCCUUUCCUCCUUUUGUCUUCCUCUCUUCCUCUGUUUCUACAAUCUCUUCUUCCGCCUUUGUCCUCCCUUCUCCUCUCCUUCUCAUCCUCUCUGCAACUCUUUCUACUCUGCAGCCUCCUCCUCGGCCGUCACCUCCUAGUCCCCUGCUUCAGUGCCUCGCUUUCUCUUCCCAUCUCUCUCCCCCUCUUCCUCUCAUUAUCUAUGGCACCUUCACAACUUUCUUUAUCUCUCUAUCUCCCUCUGCUCCAUAUCUUAGACACACUCUAAUUUCUUUGUCUCCUUUUGGUUUUUUGAGACAGGGUUUCUCUGUGUAAGAGUCCUGCCUGUCCUAGAACUUACUCUGUAGACCAAUCUGGCCUCGAACUCAAACCCGCCCGCCUCUGCCUCCUGAGUGCUGGGAUUAAAAGUGUGCACCACCAUCCCCUGCUUAUUUCUCCAUCAUAGUACUCCCGUUCCACAGCACCUUCCUGCCUUGUCCUGACUCCUGUUUUUCCUUCUCACCUGUUUUCAGCCUUUCCCCCUUUCCCUCUGAACCCUUCCCUCUCACCUGUGCUGGGUCUCUAGACCGGUCCUUGCCUCAGAGGAUGCGGAGACAGGAUACCCAGGGUUUGAUGUCCUCCUGGGUACCCCCACACAGUCCUGUCCUGUCUGGCUCUGAGUCCCAUAAGGAAUGUGAUCAAGGGUGUUCAGUACAUUCCACUCCCCUCACCUCCUCUACCUGCCAUGUCUUCCUUGCUCUUUUCUCCACUCACACCUCCUUCCCCUCCCUAGGCUUCCCAUUCCCCGCUUUCUGGGGCUCUCUGCCCUGUUUCCUUUCUGUUCUUGCUCUCACUGGUCCUUCUGGAAUCUGCCUCUGUUCUGUUCCCUACCACCACUCUCUUCCUCCUCUUUCUCUGUACCCGGGCUCUCCCACCAGCACUGUAAGCCCCGUCCUGAUAUUCCCUCCCUCCUCAUUUAAACUUACAAGUUGCCCCCACCUCCCUUGGCAUCUCCGCUGUUUAUCUUCCUUGAUCACUUCCCUCCCUUUCUUACCUUGGCUUUUCAGUCUCUCCUUCUCACCUCUCUGUCCUGUCCCAUGAUGCUGAUCGCUUCUCCCUUCUCCUUUCCAGCUCAGCCCCUCUCUGGUGUCCCUCGUGGUACUCUACUCUGUCCCUUGCACUCCUGUGGUCCUCCUGGUUUUCCCACCUCUCUUUCUUGCACUCUUCCUAUCUCCUCCGGUGUGUGUGUGUGUGUGUGUGUGUGUGUGUGUGUGUGUGUGUGUGUUAUAGGACAGAAGUCAACCUUAGGUAUCACCCAUUUAAAUUUUUUUUUAGUUUGUAUGUGCAUGUGUGUUUAUAGUGUACUCACUUGUGAGUUCAUGUGUGGGGGGCUAAGAAGUCAACAUCUGGUGUCUCCUCUGUUGUUCUCCUUAAUCUUAUUCUGUUUGUUUGUUUGUUUGUUUGUUUGUUUGUUUUGUUUAUUGGCUGGUUUUUUGAGGCAGGUUUCUCUGUGUAGCCUAACUGCCUUGGAACUCACUCUGUAGCCCAGGCUGGCCUUGAACUCAGAGCUCCACCUGCCUCUGCCUCCUGAGUGCUGGGAUUAAAGGUGUGCGCCAUCACGGCCAGUUCCCCACUUUAACUGAACUUGUAACUUGCUGAUUUGGUGAGGCUGGCCAGCCAGCAAGCCCUGGGAAUCCACUGGUCUCCACCUCCCCAGCACCGGGGUUACAGGCACGUGCCAGGCUGGUGUGUGGUACGGGAACUCAAACAUGGGUCUCCCUGCUGCACAACAAGCAUUUCACUGAUAGACCCGUCCCCCAGCCCUGCCCAUUCUUCUCUCCUCCUUCUCUUGCCCUUUGACCUCUCUCCCUCCUCUUCUCUUCCUCUUUAUUCCCUCUCCUCUGCACUCCCUCCCUCACCCCCUUCUCCCCCAGCUCUCAACCCCAAGGGCCUCUAAGUGGACUCCUCUGCUGGUGCUGGGAGGUUCCCAGACUCUGGGAGGGAGGUGGGCCACCAGUGGCCACAAAAGGUCAUGGCAGGAAGCAUGGCUACCAAGCCAGAGUCCAGGUGUGGGGCAGGGUCUUUGUGACACUCCUUUUUUCUGUCUGUUCUGGACGCUGGACAUUUCCUGGAGGAACCAGGCCCUGAAGGCACGAAGCAAAGAAUCAGCUCAGAACGAGGAGAGCUGCCCACAGACACGGCCCUCCACCCUCUUCAGGCAUCAGCAACGGAAGGCCUCAGCUGACUUCAGUUUUCCAGAUGAAAACAUCUGUACAACACCUGCAGGACACUGAAGACCAGCAGCUGCUAGGACAGAGGCUUCUUAGGACUCACCUGCCUGAAGGACCAACACUGCUCAACACAGCAGAUCGUGUGUGUGUGUGUGUGUGUGUGUGUGUGUGUGUGUGUGUGUGUGUGUGUGUAGCUAAUGGGACUGUCACCACCUCCUGGCCCAGAGUGAAACUGCAACCCAGCUGCAUUAGGCACUGAAAUUUGUCCCCAAUAAAGGACAGUCAGGGUGAGGGAAGCUGUGGAGGAAGGGAUAUGGAAAAUUCUGUAAAAAUGAACACUUUUACUCCUAAUACAGAAACACUGACAGCAAGUGUUUGUCUGA